rnacentral:rRNA from 1 species
GCUUCGGCGGGCCCGCCUUAACUGGCCGCCGGGGGGCUUACGCCCCCGGGCCCGCGCCCGCCGAAGACACCCUCGAACUCUGUCUGAAGAUUGUAGUCUGAGUGAAAAUAUAAAUUAUUUAAAACUUUCAACAACGGAUCUCUUGGUUCCGGCAUCGAUGAAGAACGCAGCGAAAUGCGAUACGUAAUGUGAAUUGCAAAUUCAGUGAAUCAUCGAGUCUUUGAACGCACAUUGCGCCCCCUGGUAUUCCGGGGGGCAUGCCUGUCCGAGCGUCAUUUCUGCCCUCAAGCACGGCUUGUGUGUUGGGCCCCGUCCUCCGAUCCCGGGGGACGGGCCCGAAAGGCAGCGGCGGCACCGCGUCCGGUCCUCGAGCGUAUGGGGCUUUGUCACCCGCUCUGUAGGCCCGGCCGGCGCUUGCCGAUCAACCCAAAUUUUUAUCCAGGUUGACCUCGGAUCAGGUAGGGAUACCCGCUGAACUUAAGCAUAUCAAU